AGCAGCCGCGGUAAUUCCAGCUCCAAUAGCGUAUAUUAAAGUUGUUGCAGUUAAAAAGCUCGUAGUUGAAUUUCGGGGUCCGUCCGUCGGUCGGGCUUUACGGUCCGUACUGGUGUGAUGGGUUCCUACCUUCUGAAUAACCGGCAUGCCAUUCAUUUGAUGCGCCGGGGAAGCAGAGCUAUUACCUUGAAAAAAUUAGAGUGCUUAAAGCAGGCUAGUGCUUGAAUAGAUUAGCAUGGAAUAAUAAAAUAGGACGGCAUGGUUCUAUUUUGUUGGUUUCUAGGAUCACCGUAAUGAUUAAUAGGGAUAGUUGGGGGCAUUAGUAUUCAAUUGUCAGAGGUGAAAUUCUUGGAUUUAUUGAAGACUAACUUCUGCGAAAGCAUUUGCCAAGGAUGUUUU
rnacentral:rRNA from 1 species